UCCAAGAUGGCUGUUUUGUUUCGUGAACGUGCUGUGACUUCGGCGAUUUACUUGAUUUACGAACAGCACUGCCCAAUCGAAUGUGCUGCACCUACAACUACUGCUCAGUUUCACUCGUGCAGAGGUCUACGACAGUUGACCGAAGACAAUUCCAUAGAAGCAUGUUUUCGAGAACGGGACCAUUUUAUCGAAGCUCAGUUUACAGCAACAUUAGUUAUUGAAAAAGGAUGGCCAUUUAGUGAAUCUAUUCAAUUGGCAUAAGCAAAUCUGGAAGCCCCUAAAUGCUAGCGCGAUUCACUGAGGCGUGUUUGCCUAUGCUUCGAGCACUCUCUUCUCUCUUAGGCUGUAAACCAGGCAGAAUGUAAUUGCAAAAAUGGCAGGGUUGUGACAUGCACAAAACAUGUCCAUCAUAUUCUGAAUGUGCUGGCCGCCCAAGCGAGCGAUUCGCUGACUGGCUCGGCUUUACCGUCGGCCAAGGCAGAGCAAGCAGUCGAGUUCGGUGAAUUGCGUUUUCCUGAAUUUGCGAAAAGCAAGUUUGUUGCCAUUUUCUCUAAACUGUGUGUCUUUUUGAAAGGAUUGAAUAAAAUGGGGGUUUCUAAA